rnacentral:rRNA from 1 species
CUACACGACCGUACCGCAAACCGACACUGGUGCGCGAGAUGAGUAUUCUAAGGCGCUUGAGAGAACUCAGGAGAAGGAACUCGGCAAAUUGACACCGUAACUUCGGAAGAAGGUGUGCCCUAUUAGUGUGAAGUGAACAACGGAGCAUGAAUGGGUUGCAAAAAAUCGGUGGCUGCGACUGUUUAUUAAAAACACAGCACUCUGCAAACACGAAAGUGGACGUAUAGGGUGUGACGCCUGCCCGGUGCUGGAAGAUUAAAUGAUGGGGUGCAAGCUCUUGAUUGAAGUCCCAGUAAACGGCGGCCGUAACAAUAACGGUCCUAAGGUAGCGAAAUUCCUUGUCGGGUAAGUUCCGACCUGCACGAAUGGCGUAACGAUGGCCACACUGUCUCCUCCUGAGACUCAGCGAAGUUGAAAUGUUUGUGAUGAUGCAAUCUCCCCGCGGAAAGACGGAAAGACCCCAUGAACCUUUACUGUAGCUUUGUAUUGGACUUUGAACAGAUCUGUGUAGGAUAGGUGGGAGGCUUUGAAGCAGGGUCGCUAGAUCUUGUGGAGCCAACGUUGAAAUACCACCCUGGUGUGUUUGAGGUUCUAACCUAGGUCCAUUAUCUGGAUCGGGGACAGUGCAUGGUAGGCAGUUUGACUGGGGCGGUCUCCUCCCAAAGCGUAACGGAGGAGUUCGAAGGUACGCUAGUUACGGUCGGACAUCGUGACGAUAGUGCAAUGGCAUAAGCGUGCUUAACUGCGAGACUGACAAGUCGAGCAGAUGCGAAAGCAGGACAUAGUGAUCCGGUGGUUCUGUAUGGAAGGGCCAUCGCUCAACGGAUAAAAGGUACUCUGGGGAUAACAGGCUGAUACCGCCCAAGAGUUCAUAUCGACGGCGGUGUUUGGCACCUCGAUGUCGGCUCAUCUCAUCCUGGGGCUGUAGCCGGUCCCAAGGGUAUGGCUGUUCGCCAUUUAAAGAGGUACGUGAGCUGGGUUUAAAACGUCGUGAGACAGUUUGGUCCCUAUCUUCCGUGGGCGCUGCAGAUUUGAGGAAGCCUGCUCCUAGUACGAGAGGACCGGAGUGGACACACCUCUGGUGUAUCGGUUGUCACGCCAGUGGCAUUGCCGAGUAGCUAAGUGUGGAAGAGAUAACCGCUGAAAGCAUCUAAGCGGGAGACUCGUUUCAAGAUGAGAUCUGCCGGGGCCUUGAGCCCCCUAAAGAGUCGUUCAAGACCAGGACGUUGAUAGGUCAGGUGUGGAAGCUAAAAAA